GGGGGGUGCGAGCGUUGUCCGGAAUCACUGGGCGUAAAGGGCGCGUAGGUGGUUUGAUAAGGGUGUGGUGAAAGCCCGGGGCUCAACCCCGGGUCUGCCGUGCCGACUGUCAAACUCGAGGACUGUAGAGGCAGACGGAAUUCCGGGUGUAGCGGUGGAAUGCGUAGAGAUCCGGAGGAAGACCGGUGGCGAAGGCGGUCUGCUGGGCAGUUUCUGACACUGAGGCGCGACAGCGUGGGGAGCAAACAGGAUUAGAUACCCUGGUAGUCCACGCCGUAAACGAUGGGUACUAGGUGCCUGGGGGAGCGACCCUCUGGGUGCCGGCGCUAACGCAGGAAGUACCCCGCCUGGGGAGUACGACCGCAAGGUUG
rnacentral:rRNA from 1 species